UGACCCUCAGGGGUCACCUAGCCAACUGACGUUGUUAGUGAAUAAAGUUAUUCACAUUCUGACAGCCAAUAGAUACCUUUCUAUUGGCUAUUUUUUU
rnacentral:sRNA from 1 species